rnacentral:lncRNA from 1 species
UCCCACAUGGGAACACACACACACACAAGAUACCCACAUCAAGCCACACCCGAAUUCAGUCAUGGCCGCUAGCAUUUUAUCAGAACUCAGGAAAAGACCCAGAUGCCGACAGCUAGAAUCAGAUGUUUAUUGACCCAAAUGGGGCAGGCAAAAGACAGGUGAAGGGCAGGCAGAGGUAGGUAAUCCAGGGCAGAGUCAAUAAGGUACAAAACAGCAGGGAGGCUCGGGGUCAGGGCAGGCAGAGGUUCGUAAUCCAGGGCAGAGUCAAUAAGGUACAAAACAGCAGGCAGGCUCGGGGUCAGGGCAGGCAGAGGUUCGUAAUCCAGGGCAGAGUCAAUAAGGUACAAAACAGCAGGCAGGCUCGGGGUCAGGGCAGGCAGAGGUUCGUAAUCCAGGGCAGAGUCAAUAAGGUACAGAACAGCAGGCAGGCUCGGGGUCAGGGCAGGCAGAGGUUCGUAAUCCAUGGCAGAGUCAGGCAAGUAUAGAAUGGCAGGCAGGCAGAAUGUUCAGAACCGGGGAAACUAGGAAACAGAAACUUGAGAAAGCAGGAAGACGGGAAAGCACGCUGGUAAGACCUGACAAGACGAACUGGUAACAGACAACAAAGAACAAAGGUAUAAAUACACAGGGGAUAAUGGGGAAGAUGGGUGGAGAAAAGCACAACGACAGGUGAAACCGAUCAGGGUGUGCCACCUUUCUUAAUUAACCAGAUCUAAAACAAGGCCAAAGCAGGAAGUACAGUCGCCCUUUAAAACAAACUAAUGACAUGUUGCACCUCUACC